GACGUAGGGCGCGAGCGUUGUCCGGAUUUAUUGGGCGUAAAGAGCUCGUAGGCGGCUUGUCGCGUCGACUGUGAAAACUUGGGGCUCAACUCCAAGCUUGCAGUCGAUACUGGCAGGCUUGAAUCCGGGAGAGGGAUGCGGAAUUCCAGGUGUAGCGGUGAAAUGCGUAGAUAUCUGGAGGAACACCGGUGGCGAAGGCGGCAUCCUGGACCAACACUGACGCUGAGGAGCGAAAGCCAGGGGAGCAAACGGG
rnacentral:rRNA from 1 species